AACGAACGCUGGCGGCAUGCCUAACACAUGCAAGUCGAACGAGACCUUCGGGUCUAGUUGCGCACGGGUGCGUAACGCGUGGGAAGCUGCACUUAGGUUCGGAAUAACUCCCCGUAAGGGGUGCUAAUACCGGAUAAUGUCUUCGGACCAAAGAUGUAUCGCCUUUGGAUGGGCCCGCGUUGGAUUAGCGAGUUGGUAGGGUAAAAGCCUAUCAAGGCGACGAUCCAUAGCUGGUCUGAGAGGAUGAUCAGCCACACUGGGACUGAGACACGGCCUAGACUCCUACGGGAGGCAGCAGUGGGGAAUAUUGGACAAUGGAGGAAAGCCUGAUCCAGCAAUGCCGGGUGAGUGAGGAAGGCGUUAGGGUUGUAAAGCUCUUUUACCCGGGAUGAGAAUGACAGUACCGGGAGAAUAAGCACCGGCUAACUCCGUG
rnacentral:rRNA from 1 species